GACGUAGGGCGCGAGCGUUGUCCGGAUUUAUUGGGCGUAAAGAGCUCGUAGGCGGUCUGUCGCGUCUGCUGUGAAAACUCGGGGCUUAACCCCGGGCCUGCAGUGGGUACGGGCAGACUAGAGUGCGGUAGGGGAGACUGGAAUUCCUGGUGUAGCGGUGAAAUGCGCAGAUAUCAGGAGGAACACCGGUGGCGAAGGCGGGUCUCUGGGCCGUAACUGACGCUGAGGAGCGAAAGCGUGGGGAGCGAACAGG
rnacentral:rRNA from 1 species